rnacentral:rRNA from 1 species
GACGAACGCUGGCGGCGUGCCUAACACAUGCAAGUCGUGCGAGAAAGUUCCUUCGGGAGCGAGUAAAGCGGCGCACGGGUGAGUAACACGUAGGUAACCUGCCCCCCAGUCUGGAACAACUAGAGGAAACUCUAGCUAAUGCCGGAUGAGACCACGAUCCCUUCGGGGGUUGCGGCCAAAGAUGGCCUCUACUUGUAAGCUAUCGCUGAGGGAUGGGCCUGCGGGCCAUUAGCUUGUUGGUGAGGUAACGGCUCACCAAGGCUGUGAUGGCUAGGCUGGUCUGAGAGGAUGACCAGCCACACUGGGACUGAGACACGGCCCAGGACUCCUACGGGAGGCAGCAGUGGGGAAUAUUGCGCAAUGGGCGAAAAGCCUGACGCAGCGACGCCGCGUGGGU